GAUGAAGAACGUAGUGAAAUGCGAUAAGUAGUGUGAAUUGCAGAAUUCAGUGAAUCAUCGAAUCUUUGAACGCACAUUGCGCCCCUCGGUAUUCCGUGGGGCAUGCCUGUUCGAGCGUCAUUUAACCCCUCAAGCCUAGCUUGGUAUUGGGUGCUUGUCCCGCCUCUCGCGCGGCGACUCACCUCAAAGUCAUUGGCAGCCCGCAUCUCGCCGGCCGUGAGCGCAGCACAGACGCGCUCUUGGCAACGACGGAUCGGCUCUCCAAAAGCUUAUUUCAACCACUGACCUCGGAUCAGGUAGGGAUACCCGCAGAACUUAAGCAUAUCAAUAAGCGGAGGA
rnacentral:misc_RNA from 1 species